GUUCAAACCGUGACUCAAGGCUGCUGGAAAUCAAUUCAAGGGCUGAAGAGAUCUUUGUAUCCCACAAACUUUUAUACCGAAACCGUGCACACUGGAUUGGGAAAUGCGAAGCCGGGACUGUGGGCUUGGCCCUCCUGUUCAAUGCGUCCCCGGGGACGUCCGACUGUAGAGACUGCGAGCCACACGGAGGGAGUAAUCCUUGUGAUUCUGAUCGGCGUUUCAUCUGCGAGAAGUCGGCUCCUUUGUUCCCGGAUAUUCCUGAAAAGAUCCAGGGUCUCUGCCAAAAGCCAGUGGAGUCGUCAUGAAUCAAGUGACUACUCCCAUUUUCUCCUCCUUCUCUCUCCUUCACGCUCACUCCUAAAUCCUUUCAAAUUUGCUCCCCACCUUCUCUGCCCCUCCCUCCUACUCCAUCUCCUCCUCUUACCGCAAGCACAUUCUCUGCACCAGACACCGACAAAUCCCUCCAGCCAUCUAUGCCCUUCUUUCUCGCCAUUCCUACCAUCCCGCUCUUCCAAGCUACAUCUACCAUUCCCUCUGCCCCUCACCUCCCCAAAUUACAAACUUUCUCCGCCCUCUCUUUCCCUGCAAUCUGUGCACUCUCUCCCCUUUCCUCCCCCAGGAACUCUCUACCUCCCCUCCCCGUUAUCUCUAAACUCUCCGUCUCCCUGAUCCCUCUCUCUCUUUCUGCUUUCCACACACUCUCAUCUCAACCCUGUGCCGUCUGGUGCUCGACAACCCAACCCUGGGUAAAAGGCUAUGCUUAAUCCCUCUGUCUGUGCGCCUCUUGGGUUUAUGGAAAUCUGUAAAUUUACAACUACUCUCCAAGGAAUAAAAUCCCAACUUUCCCUCCCUCCCACCAGAACUCAGUCCUCCGAGUUU